UGUAGCAAUACACAGUGGCGGACGGGUGAGUAAUGAAUCGCUAACGUGCCCUUAGGCCUGGGAUAGCUAGCCGAAAGGUUAGGUAAUACCAGAUGAAAUGACUUGAUCGCAUGAUCGAGUUCUCAAAGCAGCAAUGCACCUUUGGAGCGGGCGAUUUCGUAUCAGCUAGUUGGUGAGGUAACGGCUCACCAAGGCGAUGACGCGUAGCCGGACUGAGAGGUUGGCCGGCCACAUUGGGACUGAGACACUGCCCAGACUCCUACGGGGGGCUGCAGUAACGUAUCUUCCGCAAUGUACGCAAGUAUGACGGAGCGACGCCGCGUGGAGGACGAAGUUCUUCGGAAUGUAAACUCCUGUCAGGGGUUAGAAAGUUCUGAUCAACCCCAGAGGAAGGCACGGCUAACUCUGUGCCAGCAGCCGCGGUAAGACAGAGGUGCCGAGCGUUAGGCGGAAUCACUGGGCUUAAAGCGUGUGUAGGUGGAUGUCUAAGUACCUUGUGAAAUCCCACGGCUUAACCGUGGAACUGCUCGGUAUACUGGAUGUCUUGAGCCAGCUAGGGGCUACCGGAACAAAUGGUGGAGCGGUGAAAUGCGUAGAUAUCAUUUGGAACGCCAAUGGUGAAAACAGGUAGCUGGGGCUGUGCUGACACUGAGACACGAAAGCCAGGGGAGCGAACGGGAUUAGAUACCCCGGUAGUCCUGGCCGUAAACGAUGUCGACUAGAUCGUAGUGGCUCUGACGCUAUUACGGUCGAAGCAAAAGUGCUAAGUCGACCGCCUGGGAAGUACGGUCGCAAGGCUAAAACUC
rnacentral:rRNA from 1 species